GAAAUACGAUACUUGGUGUGAAUUGCAGAAUCCCGUGAACCAUCGAGUCUUUGAACGCAAGUUGCGCCCGAGGCCAUUAGUCCGAGGGCACGUCUGCCUGGGUGUCAUGCAACGUCGCCACCACCCCUCCACGGGGCGCAGCUGAGGAUGGCUUCGCGGGAGCA
rnacentral:rRNA from 1 species